rnacentral:rRNA from 1 species
AUUGAACGCUGGCGGCAGGCCUAACACAUGCAAGUCGAGCGGAUGAAGGGAGCUUGCUCCUGGAUUCAGCGGCGGACGGGUGAGUAAUGCCUAGGAAUCUGCCUGGUAGUGGGGGAUAACGUCCGGAAACGGGCGCUAAUACCGCAUACGUCCUGAGGGAGAAAGUGGGGGAUCUUCGGACCUCACGCUAUCAGAUGAGCCUAGGUCGGAUUAGCUAGUUGGUGGGGUAAAGGCCUACCAAGGCGACGAUCCGUAACUGGUCUGAGAGGAUGAUCAGUCACACUGGAACUGAGACACGGUCCGGACUCCUACGGGAGGCAGCAGUGGGGAAUAUUAGACAAUGGGCGAAAGCCUGAUCCAGCCAUGCCGCGUGUGUGAAGAAGGUCUUCGGAUUGUAAAGCACUUUAAGUUGGGAGGAAGGGCAGUAAGUUAAUACCUUGCUGUUUUGACGUUACCAACAGAAUAAGCACCGGCUAACUUCGUG